UCUUUAUUACGGCGGUGGGUGUGUGGGGGAUCGCUCCACCUAACACACACACCAAGGGUUACUGGCGGUGUGCUUAUAUUAGUAGGACAAAUACAUAUUCAUUUCAUUUCCCGUAAGGCUCUUGCAUAUUCAUCGGGUCUCUGAAGAAUCAUUAACGUAUGUUCCCGCCCCUAUUCACAUGCAUACUGGAGUCCUUGGGUGGUCGUCGGGCGUACUCUGGUGGUCUUUUGAUGAAGGCCAGAUGUCUUCCUUGCUGCUAAACUCCUGACCCUUCCUUUAUUUGGCAGACUUCAGCAGUCAAGCCAGUUCUUGCUGGUUCCAUUAUCUAUGCAUAGAGUCUUUUACUCCCCUAUCUUUGGGGUCGUUAACAUACCAUUGUGGUAGCUAAGACCUACGGAAUCAACAUCCUUUAUCUUGUUCCCUGUCUCACUUCUUUAAAAAAGGCACGCGUCAAAUGAUUGCAAUAUGUUAAACAUAUUUUCACUCAUAAGUUCAAGCUAUUUUUAUAAAUUUAAUGAAAAUGCUGGUUUUUUAGUUAGUUUGUUUGUUUAAACGGUGAUACUGGGCUCUCACUAGUUUCAAAUCCGGCGAGCAGGGUGACUUAACUCUGUUGCCUUUGCUAGCAGCGCUCAACCAGCAGCUGCGGGCAGCGGCCGGGCCGCGCGGUUCCCGACGCAGGGGCGGGAGGUGUUCUACCGGCCUCUUCCGCCCACAUCCGCGGGAAGAUCGUAAUGCGCGCAUCUUUCAGCGGCGUCUGGGAUGGUUUGUAUGAUCGCGGCCUGAGCGUUCGUUUCAGUGACCGGUUCUGGCCACUCGGCGGCUCGUACCAGGGCACGGCCGCUGGGGCCAGUAAGGCUGCGCCGCCGCACAACUCAUUACGUCGGUGCCGGGAACUCCCGCGGGCGAGGCAGGACGCGCGUUAGGGACCGUCCCCGCCGUCCCGCGUUGAACGUUCGGGAUUGUUCUCAUAACGUCACGGCAGAGAGCUCCUGCCGGCGAGGUAGGGUCGCACACCCCGUCGGCGGCCAGUAAGCCCCGUCUCAGGCUCCUGUGGAAUCGCGCGGCAGCUCUCGCGAGGUUUGGGCGCGCUGACCGUUGUAGCUCGGAGUGGCGCCAUUUUGGGAGUAAGGUGACUGGUAAUUGGGAUUACAGAGAGAGCCCUGGAUGUUUGGCUUGUUUUGCCUUAGCUGGUAGGGAGGAAGAAUGGUGGAAAUCGACCUGCUGUAGUUGCUUUUUUUUUUUUGAAAGUGGGGAGAUAUCGGACACUGAUUGUGGAUUAUUUGUCCAAGUGUAUCCUCCUGAAAAGGCUUCUGGAACAAUCAGUAGGCAUCUGGAAAGCGAAUUGGAAGCUCGAAGUCGUGAGCUUUCUCUUUCUAGAAACACAGAGCACUUCACCCUUGGACACUUCUGUUCGCAUGUCAUGGAUACGUGGCUGAAUGUAUCAAGAAAACAAACUGGAAAAAUAUAAAUCGCGUGGUGCUAACGACACCUUGUGUCGUCCCCUUGGAUUAGGCUUGAUUUCAGCUGAAUUGCUACUGCCUCAAGGAAAAAUAAGAUGGACAGAACAACUUAAUUCAAAAGAUCGCUGAAGU